rnacentral:rRNA from 2 species
AAAUUGAAGAGUUUGAUCAUGGCUCAGAUUGAACGCUGGCGGCAGGCCUAACACAUGCAAGUCGAACGGUAACAGGAAGCAGCUUGCUGCUUCGCUGACGAGUGGCGGACGGGUGAGUAAUGUCUGGGAAACUGCCUGAUGGAGGGGGAUAACUACUGGAAACGGUGGCUAAUACCGCAUAACGUCGCAAGACCAAAGAGGGGGACCUUCGGGCCUCUUGCCAUCAGAUGUGCCCAGAUGGGAUUAGCUGGUUGGUGAGGUAACGGC